rnacentral:rRNA from 1 species
UACGGGGGGGGCAAGCGUUGUUCGGAAUUACUGGGCGUAAAGGGCUCGUAGGUGGCCAACUAAGUCAGACGUGAAAUCCCUCGGCUUAACCGGGGAACUGCGUCUGAUACUGGAUGGCUUGAGUUUGGGAGAGGGAUGCGGAAUUCCGGGUGGAGUGGUGAAAUGCGUAGAGAUCCGGAGGAACACCAAAGGCGAAGGCAGUGUCCUGGGGAGUACCUGACGCUCAGGUGCGAAAGCCAGGGGAGCGAACGGG